UUGAAUGGUCUCGUGCCUUCAACCCUCAAAACUGUGGAAGGGACAUGUGCUUCGGCGCUCGGGCGCCGUCUUUAUGCAUGAGUCUGUCUUUGACGUCUGAAUCAGAGAAUGAAAAACCA
rnacentral:misc_RNA from 1 species